CCGAAAAUGUGACCGACACCUCGAACCACACAAGCAAUCAAGCGAUUAAUCGGUGCCUGACUCAGGGGCCUCGCUUACUCUUUACCUGCUCCACUCUGCGCAACAGACACCUUGUUCGCUUAGGCAGUAUCGUCCAGUGCACCUCCAGUGCCUAAACAGGCCUGCCUGGAGUGUCCUGCACGCCACCCAUGAUCACUACUUUGCUAUCGAUCGAUUCCAGCGUCACAAGGUGGGGAGAAACAGAAGGGGAUGCCAUGCUCCUUCGGGCCUUCACUACGCGUAUCUUCAAAGCUGGGCACCAGACAGUCGAUAGAUGGGCAGCGAGUGGCUCUGUGCUAACGCCGGAAGUAAUCACAAGUCAACUUUUCCAAAAGGUGCCACUGUGAGACAGGUGGGAGAACGAAAAGACCUUGUCUUACACCGUUAUCGUGGCUUAUUGCUGUCAUCGGGUGCAGACACAAUUCUCAUAUCCAAUCUGCCCAAAAUCCUGUCUUCGAUCCAGUCAUCAUCCGAUCAACGAAUGGGCUCUGGACAGGUGACGCCACGCCCCGGCACAGAACUUGAGGGAUUGUUCCUACAUUAAGGUACCCCCGAUAUAGGUACCCAUAUACAUCAACCCUGGUUUAAUUGUUAGCGUGGUUCUCGCACCACGUCCUUUUCUAUGGGGGUUAACAGUACCAAGCUAACAAUUAAACCAGGGGUGAUGUGUACAGCUUUCAAGAAGCCGUCUGCUGUCCACUACGUCCCUGAUCGCCUUGGUGUACUGCCAAAUCUCACCAGUGUGAAAGGCCAGACGAGGCAUAAGUGGCAGACCCUUAGAUCAAGUUUUUUCACCCCUUGCUCCACCUCCCCAUCUUUUCUUUUUCUUAAGG